GAGUUUACAACUCCCAAACCCAAUGUGAACGUUACCAAACUGUUGCCUCGGCGGGAUCUCUGCCCCGGGUGCGUCGCAGCCCCGGACCAAGGCGCCCGCCGGAGGACCAACCAAAACUCUUUUGUAUACCCCCUCGCGGGUUUUUAUAUAUCUGAGCCAUCUCGGCGCCUCUCGUAGGCGUUUCGAAAAUGAAUCAAAACUUUCAACAACGGAUCUCUUGGUUCUGGCAUCGAUGAAGAACGCAGCGAAAUGCGAUAAGUAAUGUGAAUUGCAGAAUUCAGUGAAUCAUCGAAUCUUUGAACGCACAUUGCGCCCGCCAGUAUUCUGGCGGGCAUGCCUGUCCGAGCGUCAUUUCAACCCUCGAACCCCUCCGGGGGGUCGGCGUUGGGGAUCGGCCCUUUACGGGGCCGGCCCCGAAAUACAGUGGCGGUCUCGCCGCAGCCUCUCCUGCGCAGUAGUUUGCACACUCGCAUCGGGAGCGCGGCGCGUCCAUUGCCGUUAAACACCCAACUUUCUGAAAUGUUGACCUCGGAUCAGGUAGGAAUACCCGCUGAACUUAAGCAUAUCAAUAAGCGGAGGGAAAAAAA
rnacentral:rRNA from 1 species